UCACAUUACCCAGUGCAAAGAAAAAGAGAGUGGGUUCAGUUACAAUGGAAGUAACCAUACUCUGAGAUCAAGGAGAGCCAUAACUCCGAUCCACUGUACACAGUGUUGUAAGACCGACCGAUGUAAUCUGGACCUUUGUGGCUUUAAGAAAACUGGUGCCGACGCAUUGAGAUGUUAUUCUUGUUCCGAUAUCAGACAUCCAAAAGAAUGUAAUGACGUCAUCUACUGCCAGCCGAAUGAGAAAUGCCUAAUCACAAAAGAAAUACGUAUAAACCCCGACGGAACACUUAGUCCCGUGUAUCAGCAGCGAUGCGAACGGAAACAGUUGUGCAUAGCUGUUCAUGAACACAAUAAAAUUCCAACGCCAACCAGUGCCACAACUACAGCCGCUACAACCACCGCCACCACCACAGCCGCUACAACCACUGAAGAACCACAAACUACCACCAUUUCUACCACCACCACCACAAAGAAAGUCGUUGAACUGACUCCUCCCCCAUUGUUUAGAUCACUCGGUCGAUACCGUCGCAGUCACAACUUGAUACAGAUAGGAGCGGACUGCUGCGAUGAUGACUACUGCAAUAAUUUUGAAAUCGGUGGAC